rfam:Populus trichocarpa scaffold_19_contig_245, whole genome shotgun sequence.
GAAUUUGUUUGGUGCAGACCCCCCUCUAGUUAUGGCAGACUUACAACUAACUGUUCAGAAUCACCCAUUAUUGUAGGCCUUGACAAGAUAAUACAAGAGAAAUUCUGAAAUGUUUUCUGUAUAUUUCACUAAGAGAGUUACAAUAUAUAUAUAUA